rnacentral:rRNA from 1 species
GAUGAACGCUGGCGGCGUGCCUAAUACAUGCAAGUCGAGCGAACGGACGCGAAGCUUGCUGCUCUGACGUUAGCGGCGGACGGGUGAGUAACACGUGGAUAACCUCCCUAUAAUACUGGGAUAACUUCGGGAAACCGUAGCUAAUACCGGAUAAUAUUUUGAACCGCAUGGUUCAACAGUGAAAUACGGUCUUGCUGUCACUUAUCGAUGGAUCCGCGCUGCAUUAGCUAGUUGGUAAGGUAACGGCUUACCAAGGCAACGAUGCAUAGCCGACCUGAGAGGGUGAUCGGCCACACGGGAACUGAGACACGGUCCAGACUCCUACGGGAGGCAGCAGUAGGGAAUCUUCCGCAAUGGGCGAAAGCCUGACGGAGCAACGCCGAGUGAGUGAUGAAGGUCUUCGGAUCGUAAAACUCUGUUAUUAGGGAAGAACAUAUGUGUAAGUAACUGUGCACAUCUUGACGGUACCUAAUCAGAAAGCCACGGCUAACUACGUG